rnacentral:rRNA from 1 species
UGGGGAAUAUUGCACAAUGGGCGCAAGCCUGAUGCAGCGACGCCGCGUGGAGGAUGAAGGUUUUCGGAUUGUAAACUCCUGUUAAGUGGGAAGAAAGACACUGACCUAAUACGUCAGUGGGAUGACGGUACCACUAGAGAAAGCACCGGCAAACUUCGUGCCAGCAGCCGCGGUAAUACGAAGGGUGCUAGCGUUAUUCGGAAUCACUGGGCGUAAAGAGCGUGUAGGCGGUCUGUUAAGUCAACUGUUAAAUUACCCAGCUUAACUGGGUAUCCGCAGGUGAAACUGGCAGGCUCGAGUGCGAGAGAGAGAAGUGGAAUUGUCGGAGUAGCGGUAAAAUGCGUAGAUCUCGACAGGAACACCGGUUGCGAAGGCGGCUUCUUGGCUCGUAACUGACGCUAAAGCGCGAAAGCGUGGGGAGCAAACAGG